rnacentral:rRNA from 1 species
UACGUAGGUGGCAAGCGUUGUCCGGAAUUAUUGGGCGUAAAGGGCGCGCAGGCGGUUUUACAAGUCGGUCUUAAAAGUGCGGGACUCAACCCCGUGAGGGGACGAAACUGUAAAACUGGAGUAUCGGAGAGGAAAGCGGAAUUCCUAGUGUAGCGGUGAAAUGCGUAGAUAUUAGGAGGAACACCAGUGGCGAAAGCGGCUUUCUGGACGAUAACUGACGCUGAGGCGCGAAAGCCAGGGNUCGACGU